CAAAAUACGUGCUUCUGGUGGGUGUGCUCUCUGUAAGAAAAUGUGGUAUCUUCUUCAGCUUCAUUCUCGAGCCUGCAAAGAAUCCCAAUGCACUGUACCGCGCUGCAGGUUUGUUCACCUAUCUCAUUUUUAUCCUUGGGACUUUGAAAUUUCCCCCAUACCUCUGUGUCAUCACUAUGAACCUAGUUUUGUGCUAGAAACCAUAUGAAUUUAUUUACAAUGUUUUGAUGCAGAGAUUUGACUGAGCACAUUAGAAGGCUGCAACAGCAGUCUGAUUCCCGAAGAAGGGCAGCUGUGAUGGAAAUGAUGAGGCAGCGUGCCGCAGAGGUUGCUGGGAAUUCUGGAUGAGCCAGUUGUACAUUAAUAGUGACAUUUUGACGUACUCUUUUCACAAGAAGAUAGUUUAUAGUCAUAAACUGCUUUGUUUAUAGGCCGAACUCUGGUGGUGAAAGAGGCACCGUUUCCUCAAAAUUUUCUGUUCAUAUUUUUCCGGAUAAGCUCCAUACUGAAGUUUACAAAGAUCAGAUACUGCUACAGUCUGCAACACCACAUGCAUACUGAAGUUAUAAAUCGGAGACUGCUCGUCUGGAACGACUAACUAUAUUGUUCGGAUGCUGUAAGGGUGUAGAAGUGUGUAGCACUUUAAUUUCAUUUUCCUGUUUUUCAUUAAUUAAUGCCCCAUUAUUUGAUGGCACGUGUACCAUAUCUUUCUGAUGCGUCCAUAGAUUAUUCACUUUCCAGAGAAAUCGCACGGGGGAUUGCAGUUUUUCUUUUUGUAUGCUGGUUUCCUCCAAACUUUGUAGUUGAAGUAAUA
rnacentral:lncRNA from 1 species